GACGUAGGGCGCGAGCGUUGUCCGGAUUUAUUGGGCGUAAAGAGCUCGUAGGCGGCUUGUCGCGUCGUCCGUGAAAACCUGGGGCUCAACUCCAGGCUUGCAGUCGAUACGGGCAGGCUCGAGUUCGGUAGGGGAGACUGGAAUUCCUGGUGUAGCGGUGAAAUGCGCAGAUAUCAGGAGGAACACCGGUGGCGAAGGCGGGUCUCUGGGCCGAUACUGACGCUGAGGAGCGAAAGCUAGGGGAGCAAACGGG
rnacentral:rRNA from 1 species